GACAGAGGGUGCAAGCGUUGUUCGGAAUUACUGGGCGUAAAGCGCGUGUAGGCGGCUUUGCAAGUCGGGCGUGAAAUCCCACGGCUCAACCGUGGAAGUGCACUCGAAACUGCAGAGCUAGAGUCCUGGAGAGGAAGGUGGAAUGCUUGGUGUAGAGGUGAAAUUCGUAGAUAUCAAGCGGAACACCGGUGGCGAAGGCGGCCUUCUGGACAGUGACUGACGCUGAGACGCGAAAGCGUGGGGAGCAAACAGG
rnacentral:rRNA from 1 species